AUGGUUAUUGUGAUAGCUGAAGGUGCUGGACAGGAGUUGCUUUCUGAGACCAUGCAAUCAAACCAGCAGGACGCUUCAGGAAACAAGCUUCUCCGAGAUAUUGGGUUGUGGAUAUCACACAGGAUCAAGGAACAUUUUUCAAAGCAGAAGAAGAUGACCAUAAACCUCAAAUAUAUAGAUCCUACAUAUAUGAUUCGUGCUAUUCCAAGCAAUGCAUCUGACAAUGUGUACUGCACACUUCUUGCUCAAAGUGCUGUUCAUGGAGCAAUGGCAGGAUACACUGGCUUUACAAGUGGUCUUGUCAAUGGAAGACAAACUUACAUACCCUUCUAUCGAAUCACUGAGAAGCAGAACAAGGUAGUUAUAACAGAUAGGAUGUGGGCUAGGCUUCUUUCUUCAACAAAUCAGCCUAGUUUUUGGAGUGCUAAAGAUGUCAUUGAAGACAAGAAAGAGGACAUUGCCAAAGUCAAGAAAGGGGAAGAACCAAAAAACCAGUUGACGGAUGAUGGGAAUUGUGCAGAUGACCUUGUGGCAGAGAAAGAGGUCAGCUACAAGUGAUUGAGAUUGAAACCAUAGUACUCUAUAAAAUUGUUACUAUUAUUGCAUAGCCUACAGUGAUCUGCUACCACUGUUUUCCUACCACGUAUAUCGUUAUGUUAGAUUAGUGAUGAUAUUCAGAGAGUGAGUUCCACCCAUAGUUUUAUUUCAGUGGAAUAGGAAGUGGUAUUUCUUUGCUGAAGAACUAGCUCAUGUGCUGAACUGUUUGUAUGUUGAAACUGUUAAAUUAUAUCA
rnacentral:misc_RNA from 1 species